CCCUGCCCCCAUUACCCUAUGGGAGUUCCAAGGUUGCUCCUAUGGAAGGAGGGAGCUAAGGAGGAGGCCUGGCCUGAGCCAAAGGAUGAUUAUUACAACAUGGAUUGUGUACAUAAUAGCCCGGCAAAAAGCGGGAUUCUGCUUCCCACCAAAAACCAGUUCGGACAUUGAAGUUGUGGAAAGCGAGGCAGUGUCAGUGGUGCAACACUGGCUGAAAAAGACCGAAGAAGAGGCUUCCCAAGGUAUCAAACAAAAGAUGUCAAACUGUCCUCCAACUCAUGGUCAAGAAGUGCAUGUGACAAGAGAUGUGGUGAAACAUCAUAUUUCAAAAUCUGAUUUGUCAGCAAAUCGGAGCCAAGAGGUCCUUGAGGAGAGAACACGGAUCCAGUUCAUAAGAUGGAGUCACACUCGUAUCUUCCAAGUCCCAAGCGAAGUGAGAGAUGAGGCCAUGCGGGAGAGGAUAGAGCAGGUGAGAAGAAGCGUGUCUCAAGUUAUGGUUGAAUGUGCCCCCAGUGUUCAACCCUCAUUCACAGACUGCUAGAAUCCACAGUUCCCUUUGCCGAUUCUCCGUGCCAGUGCUCGCGGAGGAGUGAAGAGAAUUGACUCCCAGAAAAGAGGGAGCAGAAAGGGGCCCGUGGAGAGCAAGCUUUCUGGUGAAAUGUAAGAGGAACCUGAGUGUAAGACCAAGGGCUCCGCGUGGAGUUGAUUAACCAGCAGCCAGAAAGCGGGCAAAGUGGAAUUGAUAUUUCACAGAAAACGGGAGGAAGAAAAAAAAAAAAGAAAGAAAGCCAGACUCCACCAACCAACCAAACAAAUUGUUCAACAUGUUUUCCAAUUACUUGGCAGGCUCCAGA